rnacentral:rRNA from 1 species
GACGAACGCUGGCGGCGUGCUUAACACAUGCAAGUCGAACGGAAAGGCCCUGCUUGCAGGGUACUCGAGUGGCGAACGGGUGAGUAACACGUGGGUGAUCUGCCCUGCACUUCGGGAUAAGCCUGGGAAACUGGGUCUAAUACCGGAUAGGAGCCAUUUUUAGUGUGAUGGUUGGAAAGUUUUUUCGGUGUAGGAUGAGCUCGCGGCCUAUCAGCUUGUUGGUGGGGUAAUGGCCUACCAAGGCGGCGACGGGUAGCCGGCCUGAGAGGGUGGACGGCCACAUUGGGACUGAGAUACGGCCCAGACUCCUACGGGAGGCAGCAGUGGGGAAUAUUGCACAAUGGGCGCAAGCCUGAUGCAGCGACGCCGCGUGGGGGAUGACGGCCUUCGGGUUGUAAACUCCUUUCGCUAGGGACGAAGCUUUUUGUGACGGUGCCUAGAUAAGAAGCACCGGCUAACUACGUG